rnacentral:rRNA from 1 species
AAGGAUCAUUACUGAUUUGCUUAAUUGCACCACAUGUGUUUUUCUUUGAAACAAACUUGCUUUGGCGGUGGGCCCAGCCUGCCGCCAGAGGUCUAAACUUACAACCAAUUUUUUAUCAACUUGUCACACCAGAUUAUUACUAAUAGUCAAAACUUUCAACAACGGAUCUCUUGGUUCUCGCAUCGAUGAAGAACGCAGCGAAAUGCGAUACGUAAUAUGAAUUGCAGAUAUUCGUGAAUCAUCGAAUCUUUGAACGCACAUUGCGCCCUCUGGUAUUCCGGAGGGCAUGCCUGUUUGAGCGUCGUUUCUCCCUCAAACCGCUGGGUUUGGUGUUGAGCAAUACGACUUGGGUUUGCUUGAAAGACGGUAGUGGUAAGGCGGGAUCGCUUUGACAAUGGCUUAGGUCUAACCAAAAACAUUGCUUGCGGCGGCAACGUCUACCACGUAUAUCUUCAAACUUUGACCUCAAAUCAGGUAGGACUACCCGCUGAACUUAA